UGAGAGUGUAGCCAAAUCUCUCAUUUUACAUAUGACAGGUGGGGUUCUCUGUCCCUCUUCUGACAGAGUUUCUUUUCAUUCCGCCCCAGGUACGUCAAAGUGGUGCUCUAAGGGAUUAUCAGUAUGACGAAAACAGAGGCUAGUUUGUCUUGAAGACCUCAGAUUCCCACGUUGAAGGAGGUGGGAGUUCUGAAAGACUGUUUGAAAUUCGUUCGAGUAACAGAGGAGAGUGCACAGAGCAGCCUUCUGUAUUAAACAAAGAAUAAGAGAAAAAUAUUCACUUCCAUCCAAGGUACAAGCAACAGAGCAUCAACACAAACAAAGCAGGCAUAAGCCAGAAAGCCUUCAGGAAACCCAUGGAAGGAAGAUCAAAAUCAGAUUCUUUAGAAGGGAGCUGUUACAGAGGCAGCGAGCACCCCGAGCAGGGAGAGUGGCCCCCGGCCCCGCCGAGUCCUGCCCUGGGAUCGACACUCCGCACAGCAGCAUCAAGCCACAAUAGCUUUGACCGUGUCUAUAAUAAAAGGCUUCAGGGGUACACCCUACUUUUGGAUAGCAGAGGAGCCUGUAUCAUGUCUAGGACAAACGAAGACCAUGAUUCAUCCUACUCUUCUUAACCUUCUGGAGUAUAACAUUGAGUUAAAUUCGAGUAUCUCACACCAAGACAACGUUAGUAAACUCAACUGCAGUGUUGCCCUAACUUCUUAUACCAUGGUGACCCCAGAAAAUGAUAACAUUUGUAGAAUACAGGUGAGGGGAAAACCCUUGCUGGGCCACCCUCAGGGCUGAGGGACUAAGACACUGUCAAGAACUAACCUAUUUUCUUAGAGAAUCUUUAAUUUCUAACCCAAGUUGCUGUUCAAACACUGAUAAUGAGAGAAUAUUUACNNNNNNNNNNNNNNNNUUUUUUAAUGUUACAGAUCACCCCCAUACGCGGAAGAGAACAUAAAAACGAAGAGGGUGCUUCUCUGACCUACACACCAAGGCCAUGGCACCCACAGGAAAUGAUAAUCUUCUGGCACGCUUGUCAUACACGGUUCGCACAGCUCUGCUCGGAAAAACUGGGAUGGAAGGAGAGGACUUGACGCCACAGUAUUAAUAAUUAUACUCUCCGCAACGCAUUAAGUACCUCCAAUAAAAGGCACUGCAUACAUUAGUUUAUUAAACCC
rnacentral:lncRNA from 1 species